GUUGCAGGUGUCGGGUAGCUGGUCAGAGCUGAUGAGACGAUGGAUGGAGAUAACAGAAGAUCGUUUUGGAUGAAACCUGAUCUCCGUGAGAGCAGAGCUACUCCGCUGUGCUGCUGACUCAUCUGAAUCCUCUUUCACCAAACACUUCGGGACUUAAACCUCUCUUUAAGACAUCUAUGGCUCAGUGUAAAGAGUGGUUGUCUUCGAGUCUAAAGGGAGAGUUUAAUUCCAGCUUCCUACCACAUGUGAUGUUGGGCCAUGGAAAUGUCAGGGGUCGCGUUACGUCGGCGAUAAAGCGACGGUCACCCUGGGCCACGGUAAAAGGUCGGCACCGUGGUGACAGCUGGUUGAUAUCAAAGUUGGGGAGUCACUCAUGAGUCACCGCUUUAAAUCCUCCAUGUGGCAUUAAAAUCAUUUUCAGAUAUCCCCCCUCUAUCUGUCUUGUUUUAUUAGACGCUGUCUUGA